rnacentral:rRNA from 1 species
UACGUAGGGGGCAAGCGUUGUCCGGAAUCAUUGGGCGUAAAGCGCGUGUAGGCGGCCCGAUAAGUCCGCUGUGAAAGUCCAGGGCUCAACCCUGGAAUGCCGGUGGAUACUGUCGGGCUCGAGUCCGGAAGAGGCGAGUGGAAUUCCUGGUGUAGCGGUGAAAUGCGCAGAUAUCAGGAGGAACACCGAUGGCGAAGGCAGCUCGCUGGGACGGUACUGACGCUGAGGCGCGAAAGCGUGGGGAGCAAACGGG